GGCCGUUGCCAGGUCCGUUCUGUUCGAGCCGGCAGACCGAGGCUGCGGGACGUGAUCAGGGAACGUCUGCAGACAUGGGUAUGGACCUGUAUUACAUGGAUCUGAGCGCCCCCUGCCGGAGCGUGUACCUGCUGGCCAAAUCCUUGGGUAUCGACAUGAACCUCAAGGUCACUGACUUGAUGAAGGGCGAAAACAUGACGCCCGAGUUCAUCAAGAUGAACCCUCAGCACAUUGUGCCGACCCUGGACGACAACGGCUUCUAUCUGUGGGAGAGGUGAGCACUCGGCACGGACCC